rnacentral:rRNA from 1 species
GACGAACGCUAGCGGCGUGCUUAACACAUGCAAGUCGAGCGGUAAGGCCUUUCGGGGUACACGAGCGGCGAACGGGUGAGUAACACGUGGGUGAUCUGCCUUGCACUUCGGGAUAAGCCUGGGAAACUGGGUCUAAUACCGGAUAUGACCAUGGGAUGCAUGUCUUGUGGUGGAAAGAUUUAUCGGUGCGAGAUGGGCCCGCGGCCUAUCAGCUUGUUGGUGGGGUAAGGCCUACCAAGGCGACGACGGGUAGCCGACCUGAGAGGUGACCGGCCACACUGGGACUGAGACACGGCCCAGACUCCUACGGGAGGCAGCAGUGGGGAAUAUUGCACAAUGGGCGAAAGCCUGAUGCAGCGACGCCGCGUGCGGGAUGACGGCCUGGUGUAACG